CUGGAUGUGGACGCAGGGAGAGGCGUGAGAGUUGACAGCCUUUGAGGUGAGAGCGAGAGUUUGAUUGGGCUGCCGUAGGAAAGUGGGUCCGUGCGUGUCCUGCGUGUGCCCCGACACCCAAAGACAGACGCACACCCCGGAAAUAACAGAGUGAUCAAUAAAAGACUUUCAAGAUAAAGGAUAAAAUUCUUUGGGAUAUAAAAACAUAUGUUUAAAAGGGAAAGCAUUCACAAUAGCCAAGAUAUGGAAGCAAGCCAAGUGUCCAUCGAUAAGAUGAAUGGAUAAAGAAGAUGUGGUAUAUAUACACCAUGGAAUAUUACUCAGCCAUAAAAAAGAAUGAAAUCUUGCCAUUUGUAACAACAUGGAUGGGCCCAGGUGGUAUUAUGCUAAGUGAAAUAAGUCAAAGAAAGACCAAUGUCAUAUGAUUUCACUUAUACGUGGAAUCUAAAAAACAAAACGAACAAACAAAACAGAUGCUUAAAAGAGAGAACUGGUGGUUACCAGAGG